AUUGAACGCUGGCGGCAGGCCUAACACAUGCAAGUCGAACGAGUGGCGGACGGGUGAGUAAUGUCUGGAAACUGCCUGAUUGAGGGGGAUAACUACUGGAAACGGUAGCUAAUACCGCAUACCAUCGGAUGUGCCCAGAUGGGAUUAGCUAGUGGGUGGGGGAAAGGCUCCCCGAGGCCACGAUCCCUAGCUGGUCUGAGAGGAUGACCAGCCAAACUGGAACUGAGACACGGUCCAGACUCCUACGGGAGGCAGCAGGGGGGAAUAUUGCACAAUGGGCGCAAGCCUGAUGCAGCCAUGCCGCGUGUAUGAAGAAGGCCUUCGGGUUGUAAAGUACUUUCAGCGGGGAGGCGUUACCCGCAGAAGAAGCACCGGCUAACUCCGUGCCAGCAGCCGCGGUAAUUC
rnacentral:rRNA from 1 species